AGGUUAGUUUGAAAGUUUUAGAAGAGACUUCCUAGCUAUGAGAGUGCCUAAGCGCGGGUAGAGGAAUCCGACGGCAUCGGCGUCGGCGGACGGAGUGUCUGAGCGGGGGAAGAGGAGGCUGAGGAAUGCGAUGUGGAUGGUCUCGUUUCAACGGCCGAUUGAGGAAUAAGGAUGGAAUGUAAAUGCUAUAUGGGUACUGAAGGGCAAUGUUGCCUAAAUUCCCAAUUUUCUCUCCUUACUUUCUUUUCUCUUCUUUUCUUUUCUCUGUGCUACAAUUCGAGAAGACGAGAACUAGGCGUUAGUUAGUCGUAAAAUGUUGAAAAGCUAGUCAUAACACCUUCUCGUCUAUACCCAUUUGAAUGGAAAACGAAUUUGAAGAAAGGGAAAGGAAGAAGAGGGCGAUUUCAAUGCUUGAGGUUGGAUCUAGAAUUGCACAUGGAAGUAUUAUUGCUAGGAAUUGAUUACAGCUUAAGAAAGGAUUAUACACAUAAUUUAACACUGACAGUGCACGAAAAUGAAAUUUCACCCGUUGGGUCUGUGAAGUCUGGCCAGUUUUUCAAAUCGGAUAAGGCUCCAAUCUUAACACAAACGAUGAAUGGAUAGUCAAUGAAACCAUGUUUAGAACUAUAUCAAGGAUUCUUCUCGUAUGUAUAUAAAUAUAAUUUGUUUAUUUUUAGCUUAUGAUUUACUUAUUGUCAGAUCAAUGUCCAUUGAAAUCAAAGUAAGAUGCACGACCACUAGAAAACAGAGAAAGUACCUGUUACAAUAGUUCUUUGUGAACUGCCUUUUCCAGGUCUUUUGAGCUUCUCAAAAUCAUCCCACCACUACGUAACACGAUGUUUCGUGUUCUUGGAUUCGUAUCUCUGAUGUAAAACCAGAUGACCGAAGAAGCUCUCUCGACCCAAUAAUACGGAGACCUUUCAACAAAAGAAUACUCUGUGGAAGAUGGCUUAUGAUUGUACCUUCUAUAUCUAACUCUUUUAAGCAAUCUAAACUUCCAAGUUCCUCAGGCAAUUUCUCAAUCCCAAUACAAUAGCGGAGAUGGAAAUCUUUUAGACAUUUCAUCCUACAGAUGCUUAUCGGGAUAUUCUGUAAUAACUUACAGUUUAUUAUGAUUAGCUUCUCUAAACAUUCUAAUCGGCCAAGAUCCUCAGGUAACUUCUCAAGCAACGAACAAUUAUGAAGGUCGAUAUGUUUCAUCUGUUGCAACAUACAAAUGCUAUCUGGAAGAUGUGUAAUCUUUGCAUGCGACAACUCUAGCUUUUCCAGCAGUUUUAAUCGGCCAAACUCCUCAGGUAACUUCUCAAGCAAUGAACAAGAGAACAGUUCGAGAGAUUUCAGAUGUUUCAACAUACAAAUGCUAUCUGGAAGAUCUUUAAUCAAUGUACAAAACAAAGUCAGCUCCUCUAGACGUUCUAAUCCGCCAAGAUCCUCGGGUAACUUCUCAAGAAACCAACAGGAUAUAAGUUUCAGAGAUUUAAGAUGUUUCAGCUUACACAUGCUCUCCGGAAGAUGAUUAAUCUUUGUAGACAAGAAAAUCAGCUCCUCAAGACAUUCUAACUGGCCGAGGUCCUUGGGCGCCUCUUGAAUACUGCCUUCUAGUUUAAGCUUCCUUAAACGUUGUAACCCACAAAUGCUUCCUGAAAAUGUCUCAAGGUUUGUGCAAGCACACAUACCUAUAGAAAUAAGCAUCUCAAGAUUUCUAGUCAAUGAGUGGUGAUCUUCCUUAUAAAAAUAACUAAAGCGGAAGUUUGGCAAGUCGUUGUCGGGGUGAAGUGGGCAUUGAUCUAGGGACUUUGCAACAACAUGUAACUCAGCUAAAGGAACAACCUCAAGUGAUUCCUCCACACUACAAGAAGCAUCACACUUUAGGUUAAACAAAAAAUCUCUAAACCUCAAGCAACCACUUACGUCUAAGUAGAUAAGCUUUUGUAGACAUCUAAUGGGAGUGUGAAGUUCUACCAAAUUAGAACAUGUAUUAAGAUCUAACCUCUCCAGAUUUGGAGUCAACCCAAGGUCAAGGGUUCUCAACUUUGAAUGACUAAUUUCAAGAUAGGUGAGAUUUUCACAUACAUUAGCCAUGUGAAGUUCUUCCAAAUAAUAACAAUUAUUAAGAUCCAAAUACUUGAGAUUCGGAGUCAGCUUGAUGUCAAGGGUUCUUAACUUUGACCUAGAGAGUAGUAGUACUUCGAGAUUUGAACAACUCGGCAUGUGAAGAUCUAUCAAAUCGAAGCAUUUGUCAAGUAAUAACUUCUUGAGAUUCCGAGCAAACCUAAGGUCAAGGGUCCUCAACCUUGACAUACUGAUGUUAAUAGACAUGAGCUUUAAACAUCCAAUGGGAAUAUGAAGAUCCUCCAAGUUGGAACAUCCUCCAAGAUUCAAUGUCUCGAGAUUUGGAGUAAGUCCAAGGUCAAGGGUCCUCAACAUGGAACGACUGAGGUCAAGGUAUUUGAGCUUGUUAAGAACCUAGCAUAAGCAAAAACAAUAUGAAUAUUCGUUUAAUACCAAAGAAAUAGAUGUAUAACAUAUUUAAUGAAUCAUGCAAUAGAAUGAAUCAACUAUA